CACUGAAGGAGCUCGCUGCUGUCCCACCCUUCUGCCUCGUUUCAUUCCCAGGUCUUGGCACCAUGUACAGGAACGUGGGGAGAAGAAAUCUCAGCUUUAUAUGGAAAUGCAAAGGACCAAGAAUAGCCAUAGCAUCCUGGAAGAAAAGCAAAGCUGGGAGAGCCACAUCAUCAGGUCACACUAAUCCGGGCUAAUUCAAAUGUCAUCUUUAGUCUUCGUUACAGGGCCUGAUGAGCCCUCUACCACACCCAGACCCACGGCUGGGUGGCACCUGGGAGAGAGCUUCUCUCCCUCAGGCCUACUCCGUGCUCGUGUCCCUGAAUAUGCCUCAUUGCUUAUGCUCCUACCUCCAAACCGGGCUGGUGCUCGUCAGCCCUUCCCCCAUUAUUGCAAAGAAGGGAAUAUGAAGACUUUGUUCUGAAGGGAAAGGAAGAACUUAUCCAAAGGUUUUGACACCUGUGUUCAGGCUGACUUCUGCCCCCAGAUGGCCCUGCGACAGCCAGCUCCUCAGUGAACCUCUGACAUGAAGUGAAAGAUGAUGGCCAGGUGAUCACUGCUUUAAGGGAUCCUGCCUCACUGACUUCAGCCUUGAUUACUGGUAUCCCAUCUUCAUAGCUCUUCUGGUAUUUCAGUGUGACUUCAACAUCUGGAAAACCACAGACUCCAGCAGAACACAAGAAUAACUCAACUGAGAUACCUGCUGAAACUGCUGUGAGAAAGUACUGAUACAUAAGAAAAAAAACAGAGCAAAUGUUUAAGCUGACUAAAGUGCCCUAACAUUUCAGGGCUCUGCACUGGUUCCUUCUGAAAAGAUGACAUGCUUGCCAAGGACCAAUCACUGUUUUCUGAACAUACAGUUGAAUACUACAAGUGAAUUAAUCUGCCUGGACAGUGUGACUCAGUGGUUGAGCAUCGACCCAUGUACC